AAAGCAAGCAAAAAAGCAAGGACCGACAAAUCAAGGUCAUGGUCCUUUCCUCAUUUCUCGCUUCGUUUCUUUUUUUGUUUUCUUUUCUGUCAAUCAGCUAGU
rnacentral:ribozyme from 11 species